AGAGCGAACGCUGGCGGCAGGCCUAACACAUGCAAGUCGAGCGCUCCGCAAGGGGAGCGGCAGACGGGAGAGUAACACGUGGGAACGUACCCUUCAGUUCGGAACAACCCAGGGAAACUUGGGCUAAUACCGAAUACGUCCGUAAGGAGAAAGAUUUAUCGCUGAAGGAUCGGCCCGCGUCUGAUUAGCUUGUUGGUGAGGUAACGGCUCACCAAGGCGACGAUCAGUAGCUGGUCUGAGAGGAUGAUCAGCCUCACUGGGACUGAGACACGGCCCAGACUCCUACGGGAGGCAGCAGUGGGGAAUCUUGGACAAUGGGGGAAACCCUGAUCCAGCCAUGCCGCGUGAGUGAUGAAGGCCUUCGGGUUGUAAACUCUUUCGCGCGCGACGAUAAUGACGGUAGCGCGAGAAGAAGCUACCGGCUAACUUCGUGCCAGCAGCCGC
rnacentral:rRNA from 1 species